rfam:Clostridium difficile 630 complete genome
AAAAUUAAAUGGCAAAAUUAGGGAAAUCUAAUGACGCAAAACUAUAGGGAUUAAAGCUUUUAAAGCCAUAUCAGCCAGUUGCUAAA